UACAGAGGUCCCAAGCGUUGUUCGGAUUUACUGGGCGUAAAGGGCGCGUAGGUGGCUUAGUUAGUCUGAUGUGAAAGCCCCGGACUCAAUUCGGGAAGUGCAUUGGAUACUGCUAGGCUGGAGUAUGGGAGAGGUGAGCGGAAUUCCAGGUGUAGAGGUGAAAUUCGUAGAUAUCUGGAGGAACAACAGUGGCGAAGGCGGCUCACUGGACCAUUACUGACACUGAGAUGCGAAAGCGUGGGGAGCAAACAGG
rnacentral:rRNA from 1 species